rnacentral:lncRNA from 10 species
UUGGACUGCCUGCCUCAGUUUCUUCAUUUGCCUGUCCAUCUCACUGGUGUGCUUGAGGACCCCGGAAGAUCAUGCCUGUGAAGGGCUUUGAGAGUAACCAGGGGCUAUUCUGGAGGAACGUGUAGGAACUGGGAGCAUGCCGUGGUCCCCAGUGACAGGUGGGGAGACAUGGAGUAAGGACCCUGCUCCACGUUGCAUCACCAGUCUAGCUGGGGUGGCACAGGCCAGCAUCCUGCAGCAGGUAAGGGUGCCCCAC